GACGAGCCUCACAAACGUUAUUCGGAAUUACUGGGCUUAAAGGGUGCGCAGGCGGUUCUGCAAGUCAGGCGUGAAAGCCCCGGGCUUAACCUGGGAAUGGCGCUUGAAACUACAGGACUGGAGUAUGGCAGAGGGAGGUGGAAUUCCACGUGUAGCGGUGAAAUGCGUAGAGAUGUGGAGGAACACCGAUGGCGAAGGCAGCCUCCUGGGCCAAUACUGACGCUCAUGCACGAAAGCGUGGGGAGCAAACAGG
rnacentral:rRNA from 1 species